rnacentral:misc_RNA from 1 species
AUACCUCAAGCCCUAGGCUUGGUGAUGGGCAAUGCCAGCUAGGCAUGCCUGAAAACCAGAGGCAGUGAAGCCUGAGUGCGGAAGCGUAGUGAUAAUUUUAUAACCGCUUAGGCCUCAGGUGAAGCUUGCAGAACCCCAAAACUCAAAUGU